rnacentral:pre_miRNA from 1 species
AAACUACUCCUUCCGUCCGAAAAUACUUGUUCUAGGAAUGGUUGUAUCUAGACUUAUUUUAAUUAUAGAUACAUACAUUUCUAGGAUGAGUAUUUCUAGACGGAGGGAGUAUGUA